AGGCUUUACAGUAUCUUUCAAAGUCUUCUCUCCACUCAUUUGAGGCCCAGCAUCAGCAGCUGAAGUAGCUGGUUCAGUAUCAUCAGGUAUUUUAUCUUCCUCAAAUUGAGUGCUCUUUUGCUCAGCUCCUUUAUGUUUAUUGGGUGUUGAUAUUCCACAUGAAGCUAGAGAAGCUUUCAGGGAAUCUGAAUCAACACCCUUCGAAUAAGGAUCCCAUCUAGAACGCCCCCCAAGGAAAUUUGUAGCAUUGCCCUCU
rnacentral:misc_RNA from 1 species